CAUGCACCAGUGGGGUCCCUCGGCCUGGCCUGCACGCUCUUGCAAUCCAGUACCCCUCAGGGGAUGUUGGAGAGCUGGUUUCAGCCUGAUCCCGCAGGCCAGGCCGAGGGACCCCACUAGUGCAUG
rfam:Myotis lucifugus cont2.6720, whole genome shotgun sequence.